CGUCUUCAGUUUUAUGAAAAAACUAGAGAAAUUCAAAAGAAGGCAUCUCUUGACAAGGAGAUACAGAAAACCAAAAUACAUGUGACCAAACAGAAGAGAACAUGUCAUCUAAUGUUAUAAUAAUGAACACUGAUCUUGGUAAUUAGUUAAUUAUUAUACUUCUUAAAGUUUGCUUCAUGACAUAAUAAGUUUUAUUUUAUUGUAGAUCAUGACUAUGAAACGACCACGGCCAAAACAAAUUGUGUCGAAGAAGAUAAUAAUAAUAUUAGUGAACUUUGCACAGUUACAUAUAUUAAAGCAGGUAAUAAUUUGUAUAAAUAAUAUUUAAUAACACAUCACAAUAAUCAAGAUAUUUUAUGUACAAGGUAAAGAAGAACAAAUGAUAAUAAAAUCUAGUCCUACAUAUUUUUGUUAACCUUUCCAAUUACUCUGUCUAAUCAUUGAAGGAAAUAUUGUCACAUUUAACUCAAGAAACAAUUUUAAUUAUGUCCCAUAUUUCAGUUUUUAUAUUAUGUAGUCAACAGUUACUUUCUAAUUUCAGGCAAUGAAGACACAAACAUUACUUUGGACACAAGUAUUAAGAAGCUUCAGUGCACAAGUAAUACAAAAAGUUAAUUUAAUUUCCAUUAUACAAUUUAAACUGAUUAAAAUCUUUAAAGAAAUCACCUGUAUAAUAAUUACUAGUUACAAAUUUAGUAUAUUAUGGAUUUCAGGACAAGUGAAACCAAGAAAAGAUGGCAGUAACAUUAAGCAACAAUAUUUUAAAACAAAAUUAAGAAAUGCUAGAUUAGAAAAUAGAUAUUGGAUCAACAGAAACAAAAUGGAA